UACGUAGGGGGCAAGCGUUGUCCGGAAUCAUUGGGCGUAAAGCGCGUGUAGGUGGCUUGGUAAGUCCGGUGUGAAACCUUGGGGCUCAACCCCAAGCCUGCAUCGGAUACUGCCUCGCUCGAGUUCGGGAGGGGAGAGCGGAAUUCCUAGUGUAGCGGUGAAAUGCGCAGAUAUUAGGAAGAACACCGGUGGCGAAGGCGGCUCUCUGGAACGAUACUGACACUGAGACGCGAAAGCGUGGGUAGCGAACAGG
rnacentral:rRNA from 2 species